GGCGAUGGUUUUUGGUUUCAUAGGUCUCAUUCGGUGGUUUUGAAAAAAAAAAGUAAAAGGAAGCCCUUUCACCCAUCGCGAACCCUCUCACCCAGAAGCAUUUUCGUCCUCCGUCGCACUCACCCAGAAGCGGCUUCACCCACAAGUUUCGUCGCCGUUGAAGGAGUUUGCUGUUGGCCGGAGGAUCGCCGUUGACCGAAUCUGCAUAGGCACCGUCGUUCACCAUUAGGAGCAAACAAACUCAAAAACAGCUAUUGGAGGUUGUUUUUCAAGGUUGCCGCCGUUCGUUUCGUGAUGGAUUGCAUUAAAGAAGAAGGUCGUACCAAUGUAAGUAAAUGCGUUGCAAUGAAAAUGUAAAUGUUGGUUUGAAUAAUGUUGAUUAAUAAUUGUUUUUGUUGAAAAUAAUAUGUAGUUUCGAUUGCGGGCGUGGUGUGACACCAAAGCCAUAAUGUAGAUUAAUGGGUGGUGUGACACCAAAGCCAUAAUGUAGAUUAAUGGGGGGCGUGGUGUGACACCAAAGUCAUAAUGUAGAUUAAUGAUAUACUAAGAUAAAUUGAUCGGAUACGUAUUGGCCAAACUCUAUUCAAGUGGUGUGUUCACAUGAACAGGUCGAUUGACUUAUGCACUCCUUUGUUGAAGGAAAUGAUGACCCGGUGGGUUGGCCGUAAUGAAUGCUUCAUUUUGAAGCAAAAAAUGGUACCUUUUAUAAUUAGUGGUGUUUGCAUGGGUCUAGGCCUGGGUGUUGGGGAAUUAGAUGUGAAUUUUGAUGAUAAUGUUGGUAGUGUCGUAUAUGAACAAUUUUCUUCAAAAUCAUUCAGUCCAAAAGAAGUUGUAAAUAAGAUAAAAUUGUUAAUACAAAAUAAUGAGUCUAAUUUCGAUUGUGUA